ensembl:lncRNA
ACAGUAUGUGAAAUACAAUGGAAUUUACUGAUCUCACUAGAAAUAUUUGGAAAUCCUGUUGCCUGAUUUUUUUCUACACCACCCAAGGAAUAAGUAAGCAACCCCCACGCUCAGGGAGGCUAUCAAAGUUGUGACCAAAGAGGAUGAAGGCACCAGUGAGGCAAAAUGAAGAAGGGCUCAUCACUCAUGGACAACAGCUACAAGAAUUCGGCAUGGAGGAGGUUCCUAUGAGCUCUACAGUGUUCAUUUAGGUGCUAACUCCUUUCUUCUUCAGCCAUACCAAUAAUCAAAGACAGAAAGACUAAAAACCAUCACCAGAAGAGUGAAGUCUCUGUUGAACAAACAACCUCUUCUAACUGAAUCUUGGCCUGGUCUGAAAACACCAUGAAGCCCCUGAUACUGGGAGCAUUUGUUCACAACUGAACAAACAGGCCUAGUGUUUGCAGCAAGGCACUAGCAGAAGGCUGAAGCAAAACCCCAAGGUCCCUGACUUAAAGGAGUAGGGAAGUCAGAUAGUGCACGAGAAGACACAAAACACUGAACUGAACCUAAACCUGAGUGUUUCUGAACACCUCUUCUUCCCUGUCCUAUCCAAAAAGGUCACUUGUUAGAAAGAAAGUCCGGAGCUGAACUUCUCAGUGGCCUCCCUUGGUCAAGCACCACCCAUCAGUUCACAGGGAUCCCUCUCUGGACCUGUGGAUACUUAGAAAAGACUCAGAAGAUAUAAGCGGGUGGAGAAUCAAGCCUCUAGACAAGUGGCUUGUGAUAUCCACACUGGAGCUAAACAGCCUCAGAGGACGAUAUUGAAAAUCUUGUUUGAGAAGCAAGUGAUGGGAAAAGAUGAAGAAUAAAAAGCCAUCAGACAAGAGAAGAGUGUUCUUGUUCCAGGACAGAAUCAAAACUCUGCCCUGGGAGUUACAUAGGCAUUGUUUCAGAAGUUAACACAUCAGUGUUUAUGGAUGAAAACAACUGAGAUACAACGUGAGUCAAGCAUGCCUGAGCUUGCUAAUCAAAUAAGGACACUGCAAUUAUAUGACAUCAGUAAGAAAGUGGUGAACAUAUGCCAUAUCAAGUGUAUGGCAAGGUAGAAGGAAUGCUGCAAAGUGCAGAGCUGACAUGGAGGUUCCCAGAGUGCCGGAAAAUCUCAAUCUCCCUGCUGUCAAUGUGGUGGGACCUGAUGGGGAGAUGAAGAGCUAUCAAAAGUUGUUCCCACAGAGAAGUGACUCCAAAGCUGCCCAUAAACAGAAAUGCUGUCCUUGUGGGACGGCAGCAACACGUAUCUAUCAGAGACUACGUUUUUGCCUGUCCUCAUUAUUCUGAGGAUUACACAAGAAAUAUGCCCCACCAUUAUGUCCAAGCAGAAACGUUAUGCUCAGCAGGUAGCUCAUGUACUGUAAAGCCCUUUCCCCAGCUCCAUUAAGAGGUCUUGUUUAUGUCUGGCCUCGUGCAAGACAAAAGUAUUGCUGUGCUUUCUGGCCAUAUUUUUGCAGUGGAGGACUUGACAAGUGUCAAAUUGGAAAGAAAUUUCAUUGCUGUCAUUGCUACUUACCGAUGCCAUUGCAGUGGCUCUCAGUAGAGCAGCUGAGGCUGGAGAGGAGGUGGCAAAGCAGCUGUGCUUUCCUCCUUUGACCAUCUCAUCCGAGAAGUGGGAAGUGGCAAGAUGUCCCCUUGGUGCCUGUCUUGGUUCCAGGGAGCUCUGCAUCCUGCAUACUUCUCACUCUCUGAACUUCAGAUGCACUCAUCAGCGCUCAUUGGGUUGUGACAGAGUUUGCUGCUGCUACUUUAGUAAUCUCUGAUACUUUUGGCUGAGACAAGCAACACCACAGAUGUAUGCUGCUCUAACAGUGCACCCGUUUACAUCCUGAACCCAUAGCCCACAUAUUCACUGUGGCAGAGCUUUGCACAGUGGGACACUGCCUGUCCUGCCCUGAGGGAAAGGCGGCAUUCCCUUUUCCUGCAAUGCCCACGUGCUGCAGGAGGCUGGUGCCACCUGGACGCCUUCCUCUCUAUCUGCCCUCUGCCCCGGUGCGGGGAGGGUGGGGGCACCCGGGAAAGGAGGCUGACGUGGCUCUCUUGGGAAGCGGCAGCUCCAGGAGCAUGCUAGCACGGCUGCCAGCAGCUGUCGGAAGCCUCAGCAGUGCACUCUAUUGCUUUAUUAUUUCUUCUUUGCUAAUUAUUUCCUAAGAUGGGUGGGGGAAGGAAAGCAGGAGAGCGCGAGAGCAGCAGCAGUGUGUGCUUGCUGGCAGGGCACAGCAAAGGCACUCGAACCAACUCUAGCACAAGCAAAGCAGCAGGAGGGCUGUGAGAUGGGGCCGGACUGUUUCUGCUCUGACAAAAGCAGCCAGCAUCGGCAUAAAUGUGUUUUUAUUGAGCUGGUUCAAAGUGUCCUGCAUAGCAGCAGGCAUAGAAAAUACUGCCUGCACGAGCUGGUAAGCACCCUGGAUGAGUGCUGUGUAGGUUGUACAGACAACCUGUACACACACAAGGGAAAGUAUGGAAUGUCACAGCAGAGAGGGCCCACACCAACAAAAUUCAUCCACUGCUGCAUGAGUAUCAUGAGAUAAGCACACUGGCACGCUCACACAAGGCCCUGGUCACUGCCUGGUGCUGCGCCUGGGCCCAGGGGCAGGCUGCCAUGCUGGUAGCUGGCCCCCUUGCCCCCACCCCAUCUUAGGAAGGAGGGGACAAUCUCCUUUCCAAGGACGCACGGGCUGGGAGGCAGGGGAGCUGCAAGUGGCAACAACCUCUCUUGGAGAGGGUUCGUGGCAGAGAGAAAGCUUCUCUGCCUUGGUGGGCUCUGGGCAGGGCACAGUGACCGCAGUGCGGUGGCUAUGGAAAGCAGCUGCCUGUUGCUGUCUGAGCCGAUGGCGGGAAGCUACCUGCUGAGAUGCUCCGCUCUCUGUCUGUUUUCUGUUUUGUAAUAAGCCUGUGGUAGCCUGACACAAUUAUUACUGUUUCUUGUUUUUCACUCACUCUUGGAAAAACUGCUGUAAGGAGCUGCUGAUUAUCUAUACUUGAUUACUCAGGCCUGACAGAGGAUGGGUUGCAGCAUGAAUGCCAGAGGUAGCUUGGAGGCACUCUGGGGAGAUGCCACCUUAUUACUGCGAGGAGUGCUCUCCCAAAGACAACAGGCACACGAAAGUGAAGGAGGAAUAAAAGAGCUUGGAUAACAUCAGAAACAGCACCUUUGCGUCUGCCCAACCCUAAUCUGAGAGCAAAACAAACUUGUACUGAAACAUUUCUGAGGCAUGAAAGGACAUAAUUUUUUGUUGCCAUCAUGAUUGUGUUUCUCGGAAAUGAAAGGCUACCAUAGCUGAGUAAAUAGAUGAAAAUUGGCCUGUAACGUUUCCAGCAUGGUGGUGGAAAUCUAAGGCCAUGGAAAUCCCUGAGUUGUGAGUGCUCCUCCAGACUCUACAGAGCCUCCUUGGCUCCAGAGGCACAGGGGAUGGUCUGUGCUUGAUGGAGAGAGUUAUCCCAUACACCAUCACCACCACCCUUGCUGAUGGAAAUUUCAGUUUCGGGUCUUGGAGCACUUCCAGCAACUUCAGUGUUACAGUGGAGACCAUCCCCCUGUUCUUCCCAUAACAUAGGCAAGCUAUUUGCCUUAGCUGCUCCUCUACUUCAGCAAAGAAGCUCAAGGUUCAACAUCCUGAAGUUCAUGUAUUCAUUUACAAUUCCUUUUCAGUGGAGCACAGGCAAAAGGGCACUGAAAGUGAUGAGAAGGGACUUCUGCAUCUGGAAACUCUCACUACCCUCUUGUACAUCUAAGAAACUUGCAUAUCACUCUUAGACCUCAAAAUAGUAACUGGAUCCUUGAAGCCAUCUCUCAAAUGGUUAUUCACCAGGUUACUGAUGUGCGUGGCUCUUCCCUGCACACGGAGGCCGCUCUUGGUGGAAAUAAGAAGGGAGUCCAACCUUUGAGGGAUGUUUACUGCAGAAGAGUCCUUUUGGCAUCAGUGACUAGGGAGAUUUAAAUUUCCUGGCAUAGAAUACUCCCAAAUAUUUCUGGAAACUAUUGCAUAGAAGAGAGUGCAGCACUGAUUGAUUCAAGACAGCAGCAAGGCAGCACUCCCCAGCAGUACGCUCCUCCUUGCUGAAGCCCAUCCAGCAGGGCUGACUGCAAAGCUUUAUCACUGCGCAGUUCAAACACGUAAAGCCUGACUCUCUCUGGCCUUUCUAACAGAAAACAUGCACUAUGUACUAUGAAUAAUGCACCUUCUCCCAAAGUUGUUUUUAUGACUUUUUUUUUUUUUUUGCCUUCUUAUAUAAGCUGAGACCAACCUCAGGGGUAAGAAGCAAGGAAAACACUGAGUGAUGUAUUCAGGUUCUACACUGUCUUUGGCAGUCUUUUUACGAACUCAUUUUCCUUCAGGUGCAGAAAGGCUGGGAGGGCAUGUUUAGACUGGUAGCUCUCAAGUGCAGGAAGAGCCUAGCAGAAACAUGAGGGAGAGCCUAUUUUCUGUUAUUUUUUCCUUCCUUUCUUGUUUUUUCUUUUUCGUUUAAUAAUAUUUAUUUGCCUUGAAAGGAAUGACAGAUGAGAAUUUCUGUGAGCUGUGUUGCUUAUCUCGCCUUGCUGGCUUGUUUGUGUAUGUUUGUGUCUGCAUUUGUGUGAGCCUCACGCAGUCUGAAUUGUCUGACUCUUCUCCAUAUAUAUCGAGAUCCUGUUUAUGAGGACGGUACCAUAUUUGAGUCUUUUCAUCUCAAGGAAGCAGUUCACUGUCUGGUACUAAAAUAACCGCUGCAGGAAUCAGCCUGUAUUUUUAGGUUACAGGAUGAAUCAAGGACUGGCCUUACACAUUCCUAUGGCUUCUAAGCUUCCUAUUGCACCACAAAGCCUUGUUGAAAUGCUGGGAAAAAAACACACUUAGACCUAAACACCGCCCAAAGUGCCGCAAGGAGGCUGUGUUUGCUUCAUAUGAACACCCUUUUGUUUUCCUGUAGAGAAGCAGCCGUCAUCAAGAAUUAAUUAAUUUGGCAGAGCUCACCGGCUGGCUGUGGAUACUCUAUAGCAAUCUAGCAACACUUUGCAAAGGGGUCCAGGUAGAGAAGCCCAUCGUGCUCGUCUCUUUGUCACAGAAAUGCUCUUCUGUGUCCUGUCGAUGUGGCACUGAUGUCAGCCUGCUGAUGUAAAAACACUGCAAAGUGACUGCAAAGGAAAAGGACCAGAUGGCUGGUCUUGGGGUCCCUGGGGACUCCCACAUCAAAAAGGAGCUGCAGAGAAGAAAGCAGAAGGAGAUAAGUGUGAAAACAAGAAUACGCGACAGAAGAACCCACUGCUCGCAGUUUCUAGAUCUUCUUCCACAAAAGGGCUAAAUUCUCAGGCCUAGGUAUGUGUUCAGGCAGCUAAGAAUUCUGGCUGAAAGCAAGUAUGGAGUGGCCUCUGGCCUUGAGCAACAGCAUGUGCCUGCCCCAAAAAGCAGGAUAGCACUGGCACAGCGCUUACAUUGUUGCUGAAAUCCAAGGAGGUGAAGCAUAUGCUGCUUCACUGAACUGAGCCUGGAGGUAGGGAGGAUGAGCACUACACUCAUGAGCAAUAGCAGGAGCAGAACCCAGGUCUCCUGGACAAGCAUCAGCACCAUGCUUCACCAGGAGCUCCCCAGGGCAUCCUCCUGUUACCAAUUAGAACAGUGCUCACUGCGGUGGGUCCUGGGGCUCUGUGCUCUUUUGCAGCACAGGUCAUGCACAGUAGUACGCAGAGGAAGUGCUCUCGUGCCUGGCUGUUCCUGCAACAUCACUUCUUAACACGCUUUUUCGGGGAAGGGUUUGGAAGCCUGUUCAGCCUGUCAAUCUGCUGCUGUGUCAACAUGAGAAAGUUAAGUAAUUCCUC